UAUUUGUGUUCCAUGCAGUAACGUGCACUGUAUUGUACGGCAUUUGAUAUAAUCUGCAAUAUUAAUUCCUUUACAUAUUUCUUCUUUCUUUUAACUGUUAUUUUGCUCGGAUGGAACUAGGUGUUGGUGGUGGAGUUGUUCAACCUAGUGGCGCUGCUGAAACUGGUCUGAAACCAGCAAAGAGUUAUGUAGCAGUUGGGACUGGGGGAACUGGCGGCGGAGGGAUUCGUAACCCCUGGCUCGGCUACGGAAAUCCCUACGGUGCUGGAGUGGGCCUGGGAGGCGGGCCCGGAGGUGUGCUGCCCUUAGCUAAACCACUGAAGCCCCCAGCGUUUGGCGGAGCCGGCGGGGCUGGCAUUCCUCUGUCGGCCGGACUUCCUGCAGGUGGACAGGUGUACCCUGCUACUGGGGGGCUGGGACCCGGUGGAGCAGGAGGUUACGGCAAUCUGGGAGCUGCUGGGGGAUAUCCACAAGGUGCUGUUGCUCCGGGUUAUGGUGGUGGAUACCCACAGCAGGCUGGAGGUGGAUAUGUCCCUGCCCCUCUGACUCCUCAACAAGGUUGCCAGGGGAAGUUUUGUGGCAGGAGGAAGUAACGGAUCUCUGGGCUAUGCUGUGACCUCAAGAAACCAUGGUGCUACUGCAUGAUGUCGAAUGUACAUUUUGUAUGCAAACACAUCCCCCGAUUAGAGAGCAUGUAGGGAUGGUUGAUUCUUACUUUGUCCUACAGACCCACCGACUCAGAAUUUUGUAAAACUUAUCUUUGAUGAAGCUAGUUGAACUGAUGAAUGAUAUGAUAACAUGUCCGUUUAUCAUAUGAUGACAUGACAUUUCUUUUGUUUUGUUUGUUGUACCGCUUAUAGGGUCAGAUGAAGAAAGUGUUUUUGAACAGACAACCCGCCCUCAUUGCUACUAGGUUAACUAAUAUUUGUGUAAAGGACAACAUGCCAGUUUCUCAAAAUGAGAAACUGGUGGCCCUCAAAUAAAAUAAAAAAGUCCAACAAAAUAAAUAAAAACUAGAAUAUAGAAAUAGUUAUAUGUUUUAAAUUCGAGAGAAACAGUGUUUUUGCAGAAGUCUGUGUUUAUGCCCCUUCAACCUAGCCUGGUGAAAUAUCACUUGUGUAGAGGACAAAGGGAUUGACGCGUGCGUGCUAACACAACCGUACAAUACCAUCUUGUAAUCGAUUGUGCACACUGUAGGCAUUUGGUCCUCCAUCCUUGGAUGUGUUAGGGUUCUCAAACCACCACCCUGCAUAUCCUAUGGAGGUGGAGGUGAGAGGUAGAAGGCAUGUCCCUGGUGCUGACGCAUACUUCUUCAUGGUGCAUGUUCUCUGUUCAUGUUAAGCUUGUGACUGUAAAGAGCAGCCAGUUUGCCAGGUUGUUAUGACCUGCUCUCCUCAACAAUGGUCAUUCUAUGCAGUUAAGCAGCCCUGAUGUCUCCUUAUUUCUACCAUGACCAAAAGUGUAAAUGAAUGAAGGACCGUUUUCUGCUCUGGAUUAUUGUAUGCCAAAAGGUGUUUCAUGUCCUUAAAAAAAAAAACGUUAGGAUACUGCUCUGGUAUGUACAUUGUUGCAGGACAAUGACUUGAGUGUUGAGUGUGGUAUGGUGCUUUAUUCACCCUCAAGUGUAGUCUCACUUAUUAAGGCUUUCUGUAUUUACAUUUAGGCAACUUGUCAUUAUUCAAGAUUCUGUUUUCACCCGACCUUAUUUUCCUCAUAAUUUUGUCAUUAGCAGGUAUGUCUGAACAAGAAGUGAGAAAAUAUGUUUUAAACUUUGCUUCAGCAUUUAUUCACUGUUGAGAAUUAUACUGACUAAGAGCUUUGUUUAAAGAGGGAGACUACCUAUGUGUUUAUGCCCUGUCUAAGUGGGACUUUACCGACUUGAGUUACAUUAAAGGAAGUCUCACGCGUGAUCAGCUCAACUAAUAAUAGACUCCCUCUUUAUAUAUGUGUGUACUGUAUUUUAUACCAGUUGGACUUAAGCGCACUUGGUUCUAUUUCGUGCUUCUGUAAGAACUAUAUUUGAGCCUUGCUAGGUCCGACCUUGUCUUCUGUGCCGUGAGAUACUAUGUUCAUCUUAAUUUAAAAAAAGAAAUUAAAAGGAGAACCAUGGGGAUUUUGCACUUUUUUGUAUUUCUACGACACACUAUGACAUGC
ensembl:lncRNA